ACCAACUGGGUGCACCUGCAGUCUGGUNGAUCNNNCCGGNGGNUGAAACUGCGGANNGCUCAUUAAAUCAGUUAUGUUACNUGAUUGUACAAUGUUUACAUGGAUAUCUGUGGUAAUUCUAGAGCUAAUACAUGCGAAAGGUCCCGACCUCUGGAAGGGAUGUAUUUAUCAGCUUUAAAACCAAUGGAGUCCUUGUGUCUCGCAUUAUUGACGAAUCAUGAUAACUGUUCGAAUCGCACGGCCUCGUGCUGGCGAUGUUUCUUUCAAAUUUCUGCCCUAUCAACUGUCGAUGGUACGGUAGUGGCCUACCAUGGUUUUUACGGGUGACGGAGAAUCAGGGUUCGGUUCCGGAGAGGGAGCCUGAGAAACGGCUACCACAUCUAAGGAAGGCAGCAGGCACGGAAAUUACCCAAUCCCAAUUCGGAGAGGUAGUGACGAACAAUACCGAUGCGGCGCACACAUGUGCCGCCGUAAUCGGAAUGAGUACACUUCAAAUCCUUUAACGAGGAUCCACUGGAGGGCAAGCCUGGUGCCAGCAGCCGCGGUAAUUCCAGCUCCAGCAGCGUAUAUUUAUAUUGCUGCGUUUAAAAAGCUCGUAGUUGAAGCGUCAGACGCGGGAGGGCGGACGGCCGCAUUGGUCAGUCGCGCCCGACCGAGCCAGGCGCAGAAUGGCGCGCGUCGCUUGCACUUCACCGUGUGAGCGCGCCGCCGCUGCACGUUCACCUUGAAGAAAUUGAACCGCUUAGAGGGGGCGAGCAGCUUGGACAGCUCAGCAUGGUAUGAUGGAACAUGGGCUCGUACUCAUUUUGUUGGUUAGAGAGUUGGCGAGCCAAUGAUUAACAGGGACUGCCGGGGGCAUUCGUACUCGGACGGGAGAGGUGAAAUUCAAGGAUCGUCCGAAGACGCCCUACUGCGAAAGCAUUUGCCAAGAAUGUUUUCAUUAAUCAAGAACGAAAGUCAGAGGUGCGAAGGCGAUCAGAUACCGCCGUAGUUCUGACCGUAAACGAUGCCGACUGGCAAUUGGGCGCACUUCUAUAGAAGUUGCCGCCAGCAGUAUUGCCCGGGAAACCAAAGUCAUUGGGUUCCGGGGGGAGUAUGGUUGCAAAGCUGAAACUUAAAGGAAUUGACGGAAGGGCACCACCAGGAGUGGAGCCUGCGGCUUAAUUUGACUCAACACGGGGAACCUCACCCGGCCCGAACACUGUUAUGACAGACAGGUUGAGAGCUCUUUCUCGAUUCAGUGGUUGGUGGUGCAUGGCCGUUCUUAGUUCGUGGAGCGAUCUGUCUGGUUAAUUCCGAUAACGAACGAGACUCUUGCCUGCUAAAUAGACGGCGUCGACACGAGCGGCGACCGUUCGCUUCUUAGAGGGACAAGCGGCUUUUAGCCGCGUGAAGCAGAGAGCAAUAACAGGUCAGUGAUGCCCUCAGAUGUUCGGGGCCGCACGCGCGCUACACUGUUUGCAUCAGCGUGUUUCUCCCGCGCCGGCUGGCGUGGGCAACCCGUUGAACCGCAAACGUGCUAGGGAUCGGAGAUUGCAAUUGUUCUCCGUGAACGAGGAAUUCCUUGUACUGGCGAGUCAUCAGCUCGCGGGGAAUCUGUCCCUGCCCUUUGUACACACCGCCCGUCGCUACUACCGAUUGAGUGGUUUAGUGAGGCUCACGGACUGCGCGCGGCACUCGGCAGCUAAUCGGGCGUCGCGCCGCGAUGUGGAAAGUGAGACGAACUUGUCACUUNUAGGANGUNAAAAGNCNUNACAAGGUUUUCGUAGUGAACUGCCGGGAAGGAUCAUA
rnacentral:rRNA from 1 species